AGGGGAGACCGGGGCUAGUUGGCCUAGGGGUAAGUCGCUCUUUUCCCUUUAAUUUGGCGCCACUUGCAAUCCACAAUUUUUCAAAAUAGCCAAAUUGUUCAGUUUUAUCAGUAGAUGGUGUGUACAAAAUUUUUUUCGUCUGCACUUAAACCGUGACGUUUUAAAGCCCAAAAACGUUUUUCGUCACCCGCCAGUAACUUUUUUUUUCCAAAGUGAUUUCCUUUUCAUCAAUUAGGUAUUGAGUGUACAAGCAAGAAAUUUGCUUUUUCAGAAAGAUUACUAAAAACUGUGUUGAAGAGGAAAGACUUUAUGUGUUACAAUUGAAAGAGCCAUUGAAAUGGUUUUAAAAGAAGUAAGAAGAGUUAGCAAUGUUUGAAUCCCACUUUAUAUACCAAGAAGAAGUCUGUAAAGCUACAUUGACAGAAAGAAGAAGGGAAUUUCUUCAAUUAUUGGAACAGAUAUCUAGAAAAAGUGCCUGCAAACUUAAAUGUGGUUUCUACAAGUUAUACCAGGUUUUCAUAGAUGAAGAAAGGACUAUACUAGUUCAUUGCUUCCAUCGAUCAGGAGACAUUUAUGUUUUCCUUUCCUGUGUAAGAAAGCUUUCAAUUUAUGCCCCCAAUGAAUCUCUAAUUACCACCAACCAAGAUCGACAAAACUUUAGCUAGGCCAGACUUGUUGACUCAAGAGAUUUUAUCCAGAAGGUGGAGUGUCUCAUUUAAACACCACAGAAGAAUCGUGUUAUGAAUCAAAGAAGAUUAAUUCAGUGUAUGUUUUUUAAAGUUGGUUUAUGGGUUCGUGGGUUUUGUGAAAACAUUUUGUGUGUGUGUGUAGCAUGUCCCAAAUGCUGUGUAAAAAUGCAAUGCCAACUUGCCCCAAUUCAUUGGGCAACUUACCCCGUAGUUGGGGCAAGUUGCCCAUUUUAGGUGUCGCAUUAAAACGUAUUUUUUGGCAGAAA